UGGGGAAUUUUGGACAAUGGGCGAAAGCCUGAUCCAGCAAUGCCGCGUGUGUGAAGAAGGCCUUCGGGUUGUAAAGCACUUUUGUCCGGAAAGAAAUCCUUGGCUCUAAUACAGUCGGGGGAUGACGGUACCGGAAGAAUAAGCACCGGCUAACUACGUGCCAGCAGCCGCGGUAAUACGUAGGGUGCAAGCGUUAAUCGGAAUUACUGGGCGUAAAGCGUGCGCAGGCGGUUUGCUAAGACCGACGUGAAAUCCCCGGGCUCAACCUGGGAACUGCAUUGGUGACUGGCAGGCUAGAGUAUGGCAGAGGGGGGUAGAAUUCCACGUGUAGCAGUGAAAUGCGUAGAGAUGUGGAGGAAUACCGAUGGCGAAGGCAGCCCCCUGGGCCAAUACUGACGCUCAUGCACGAAAGCGUGGGGAGCAAACAGGAUUAGAUACCCUGGUAGUCCACGCCCUAAACGAUGUCAACUAGUUGUUGGGGAUUCAUUUCCUUAGUAACGUAGCUAACGCGUGAAGUUGACCGCCUGGGGAGUACGGUCGCAAGAUUAAAACUUAAAGGAAUUGACGGGGUCAUAGCUGUUUCCU
rnacentral:rRNA from 1 species